rnacentral:rRNA from 1 species
AACGAACGCUGGCGGCAGGCCUAACACAUGCAAGUCGAGCGGACCCUUCGGGGUUAGCGGCGGACGGGUGAGUAACGCGUGGGAAUAUGCCCUUCUCUACGGAAUAGUCCUGGGAAACUGGGGGUAAUACCGUAUACGCCCUUUGGGGGAAAGAUUUAUCGGGGAAGGAUUAGCCCGCGUUGGAUUAGGUAGUUGGUGGGGUAAUGGCCUACCAAGCCGACGAUCCAUAGCUGGUUUGAGAGGAUGAUCAGCCACACUGGGACUGAGACACGGCCCAGACUCCUACGGAAGGCAGCAGUGGGGAAUCUUAGACAAUGGGGCAACCCUGAUCUAGCCAUGCCGCGUGAGUGAUGAAGGCCUUAGGGUUGUAAAGCUCUUUCAGCUGGGAAGAUAAUGACGGUACCAGCAGAAGAAGCCCCGGCUAACUCCGUG